GGUUUCCAAGCCCUUUAUUUCAAUAAAUCUUUCCUGAUUAAUUUAGGAAGCACAAAGGAAGUAUCUGACUCCUGUAGAUACCACACUUCCCUAUCCCUCACCAUGUAUUUAUUCUUAUAUUUGACUCUUUUAUUUUUUUAGUAAGUACUUUUAAAUUUUAUAUAAAACUUGUUAUAGGCUCUCUAAUUACAGACUACAAUGACUCAACCAAAAAGUGGUGAACAUGAUUUUAAAAAAUGGCACAAGCUAUUUGAAAUGGUAAGAUCCAAGACAUAGGUUCGUGCUAACCAUGACUAAAAAUAGGUUGUUCUUUCUUUCCAGACCAACACUAUGACUCUGUAUCUUUAUACCUUCAACUUAUGUUCACAAGAAACUUCUGAGUUAUCUAACUUGAGAGCUUCUGAGGACAUUUUUAGGCUGACUUCUUUUGUGUGGCUACAUUAGUAGGGUAAACAGUGUGGGAAGGAAAGGUGUCAGCAGAGCAAAGUCAUCAGUCAUGGAAAGUAAUACCAUAUGCUUGUCUUUUUUCUAACUGGCCAGAGCCAAGUCACGAAAUAUGGAUACACCAUCUUUUGCAGGUUUAACCUGGCAAGCAGUGAAAUCAUGUGGAAGGCUUCUCUUGGGUUUUCACAAAUCAGAGUUUAGAUUUAAGGGAAUCAUAUAAAGAAAAAGUUUGCUCAGGGUGGUAAUCCAAAGAGUAGGAACCCAUAAGAACAUACUAUUUGUUAAAAGACGACUGAACUCUCUCUGUUAUUAAAUGGCCAUCUUUUGAGCCUCCCCAAGAGCCUUCCCACCUUUCUAACUGCCUUCUUUCCCAUGCCCCAGUUACUUACCUAGUUGUGAAAUAUUUUUUAAUGUCACCUUUGACUUUUCCCAACUUAAAUUGCAUCUAUUUUCAUAUUCUAGAAAAAAGAAAAUAGCAUUUGAAAAAGGAAAAGAUGAUCAAGCACUUUCAAAGACAAAAAAUACAAUGCAUCUAUAAAGGCAAAUGCGGCAUUGAGUGACUAAAUCUGAUGAACAGGGAAGACUUCUGACAGACACUGAAUUGGGAGAAGGAGCCUUCCUGCUCCGAGACCAGUGACAUGUACUUGGAAAUGAUGUUUAUGAUUACCUGAGUAAAUGGUCAUAGGUUUCUGUGAAGAAGGACUGGUUGAAUCAUCACCAUAUAAUGUUGCCCACUCAUUGUAUAAUGAUUAUUCAUGGAUUUGGCCUCUUCUUCAGUCACCAGAUGCUCCAAGCAAAGGUUGAGAUGAAUCUUCAGAGGGAGAUGUGCUAUCUUGAAAGGCAGAAGUCUCUGCAUCAUCUUCAAGUAAAGGGGUGUAUUCAUGCUGCUGAUAAAGACAAACCCAAGACUAGGCUAUUUACAAAAGAAAGAGGUUUAAUGGACUACCAGUUCCAUGUGGCUGGGGAGGCCUCACAAUCAUGGUGGAUGGCAAGGAGGAUUAAGUCACAUCUUACAUGGAUGGCAGCAGGCAAAAAGAGAGAGCUUGUAUGGGGAAACUCCUGUUUUUAAAACCAUCAGCUUGCAUGAGACUUAUUCAGCACCAUAAGAACAGCACAGGAAAGACCUGCCCCCAUGAUUCAAUUACCUUCCACAACACAUGGGAAUUGUGAGAGGUACAAUUCAAGAUGAGAUUUGGGUGGGGGCAAUGUCAAACCAUAUCAUUCCAUUCCUGACCCUUCUCAAAUCUCAUGUCCUCACAUUUCAGAACUGAUCAUGCCCUCCCAACAGUUCCCCAAAGUCUCAACUCAUUUCAGCAUUAACUCAGAAGUCCACAGUCCAAAGUCUCAUCUGAGACAAGGCAAGUCCCUUUUGUCUAUGAGCCUGUAAAAUCAAAAGCAAGUUAGCUACUUCUUAGAUACAAUGGGAGUAGAGGCAUUGAGUAAAUACAACCAUUCCAAAUGGGAGACACUGGCCAAAACAAAGGGGUUAUGGGCCCCAUGCAAGUCCAAAAUCCAGCAGGGCAGUCAAAUCUUAAAGCUCCAAAAUGAUCUCCUUUGACUCCAUGUCUCACAUCCAGGUCAUGCUGAUGCAAGUGGUGGGUUCCCACGGCCUUGAGCAGCUCCAUUCCUGUGGCUUUGCAGGUACAGCCUCCUUCCAGGCUGAUUUCAUGGGUUGGCAUUGAGUCUCUGUGGCUUUUCCAGGUGCACGGUGCAAGCUGUUGGUGGAUCUACCAUUCUAGGGUCUGGAAGAUGGUGGCCUUCUUCUCGCAGCUCCACUAGGCAGUGCCCAAGUAGGAGCUCUGUUUGGGGGUUCCGACCCCACAUUUACCUUGUGCACUGCCCUAGCAGAGGUUCUCCAUGAAAGUGCCACCCCUGCAGCAAACUUCUGCCUGAACAUCCAGGCACUUCCAUACAACCUCCGAAAUUUAGGUGGAGGGUCCCAAAGCCCAAUUCUUGACUUCUGUGCACUGGCAGGCUCAACAUCAUGUAUAAGCUGCCAAGUCUUGAGGCUUGCACCCUCUGAAGCUGCAGCUUGAGCUCUACAUUGGCCCCUGUCAGCCACGGCUGGAGCAGCUGGGACAUAGGGCACCAAGUCCCUAUGCUGCACACAGCAUGGGGACCCUGGGGCCGGAAACAAAACCACCUUUUCCUCCUAGGCCUCUGGGACUGUGAUGGGAAGAGCUGCCAUGACAGCCUCUGAUACUCCCUGGAGAUAUUUUCCCCAUUGUCUUGGAGAUUAACAUUCGGCUCCGUGUCACUUAUGCAAAUUUCUGCAUCCAGCUUGGAUUUCUUCUCAGAAAAUGAGAUUUUCUUUUCUAUCAAUUGUCAGGCUGCAAAUUUUCCAAACUUUUAUGCUCUGUUUCCCUUUUAAAACUGAAUGACUUUAACAGCACCCAAGUCACAUCUUGAAUGCUUUGCUGCUUAGAAAUUUCUUCCAUCAAAUACCCUACAUCAUCUCUCUCAAGUUCAAAUUCCACAAAUCUCUAGGGCAGGGGCAAAAUGUCACUGGUCUCUUUGAUAAAAAAUAGCAAGAGUUACCUUUACUCCAGUACCCAACAAGUUUCUCAUCUCCAUCUGAAAUCACCUCAGCCUGAAUUUCAUUGUCCAUAUUACUAUCAGCAUUUUGUUCAAAGCCAUUUAACAUGUCUCUAGGAAGUUCCAAAGUUUUCCUUAUUUUCCUGGAUUCUUCUGAGCCCUCCAAACUGUUCCAACCUCUGCCUGUUACCCACUUCCAAAUUUGCUUCUACAUUUUCGGGUAUCUUUUCAGCAGGGCCCCACUCUACUGAUACCAAUUUACUGUAUUAGUCCGUAUUCAUGCUGCUGAUGAAGACAUACCCAAGACUGGGCAAUUUACAAAAAAAAGAGAUUUAUUGGAUUUACAGUUCCUCAUGGGUGGGGAGGCCUCACAAUCAUGGUGGAAGGCAAGGAGGAGUAAAUCAUGUCUUACGUGGAUGGCAGUAGACAAAAAGAGAGAGCUUUUGCAUGGAAACUCCCAUAUUUAAAAUCAUCAGCUUGCAUGAGACUUAUUCAGCACCAUGAGAACAGCAUAGGAAAGACCCGCCCCCAUGAUUCAAUUACCUCCCACCAGGUUCCUCCUAUUACAAGUGGGAAUUGUGGGAGUUACAAUUCAAGAUGAGAUUUGGGUGGGGACAAAGCCAAACGAAGGGAGCAGUGUUCAUUUUUUACAAGGAAAAACGGAUCCUUUCUGGUGGACCCAGAAGGUUUAAGAGAAUCCAGGUAUUCAAGAUUUUAUUGUAUUUAUUUAUUUUUCUUGAGACAGAAUCUCUCUCUGUCACCCAGGCUAAAGUGCGGUGUUGAAAUUAUAGUUCACUGCAACCUUCACCUCCUGAGCUCAAAUGAUUCUUACUCUGUCUUUUGAGUAGUUAGGACUACAGGUGUGCACCAUGUUGACCCUGCUAUUUCUCUCUCUCUCUCUCUUCUUUUUUUUUUGUAGAGACAAGGUCUCCCUAUGUUGCUCAGGGUGGUCUGGAACUCCUGGCCUCAAGUAAUCAUCCCACAUUGGCCUCCUGAAGUGCUAGGAUUACAGUGCCUUUAAUUAUGUGACUGGACCUGCAGAAUUCCUGGUCUUUUCUACAGUCCAUCCUUCCUACACCUGCCCAGCAGAAUUAUACUCCUCUCGCAUGGCUGCCCUCAGGACCUCCUGUCUGGUUCCCCAGGGAGAAUCUGUGUUCAGAUGUGGGCUUUCUCCCUCUCACACUUUGGGCGCUGAGUUUUUCAACUGUCUCACAUCACAGAAUUUGCAGCAGGAAGCUGCUUCUUUCAAAAGGUCUGUAAUCUUUUGUUUGUUUGUUUGUUUUCCCAGUAUGUUCCUGCAGUAUGUCUUGGAGCAAAAGUUCAUAAUGUGAGUCUCCACAUGUGGUUCUGUUAAUCUGAGUGGGAGCUACA
rnacentral:lncRNA from 1 species